GACGAACGCUGUCGGCGUGCUUAACACAUGCAAGUCGAACGGAAAGGCCCUGCUUUUGUGGGGUGCUCGAGUGGCGAACGGGCGAGUAACACGUGAGUAACCUGCCCUUGACUUUGGGAUAACUUCAGGAAACUGGGGCUAAUACCGGAUAGCAGCCCCUGCUGCAUGGUGGGAGUUGGACAUUUUCGGCGGUUGGGGAUGGACUCCCGGGUUAUCAGCUUGUUUGUGUGGUAGUGGCUUACCAAGGCUUUUACGGGUAGCCGGCCUGAGAGGGUGACCGGCCACAUUGGGACUGAGAUACGGCCCAGACUCCUACGGGAGGCAGAAGUGUGGAAUAUUGCACAAUGGGCGGAAGCCUGAUGCAGCAACGCCGCGUGCGGGAUGACGGCCUUCGGGUUGUAAACCGCUUUCGCCUGUGACGAAGCGUGAGUGACGGUAAUGUGUAAAGAAGCACCGGAUAACUACGUG
rnacentral:rRNA from 1 species